UUUUUCCUAUCCCAUCUCUCCAUCCCAUGAUUCCUCUCUGACCCGAGCUCCAUGUCCAUGACGCUGCCGCCGUGACCUCCGGUUCAGCCUACCUCCAGCGCUCUUCUGCGUCGUUGCUCGCUGGCCCCAACUCCCCAUGAGUGCUAUCCUCAGAUCCUCCAUCGCUGCGAGGUCCUCCGGGCCCCUGCACAUGCCCCUGCAGCAACCCGCCACCAUGGGUCACCGGCGCGGCUCCUGCUCCUCCAGUUUUUCGGCUCACUGACCCCAGCGUCUCCGCACGAGUGGCUGCCGCCACUGGCUCAACGGUGCUGCUCUGCCUCGGCUACCUCGACUCCCACGGCAACGGUUCAGUUUCCUAUAAUACUAGAGAUACAAAGCUACACGAAUUUCAUGAGUGCUGGGAAGAUAAACGGCCAGCAAUGAUGGGAGCAGCUCAAUGACAUCACAUAGGAGAAGAUGAAGAGUAUGCACUUUAUUAUGGCGACAACUGGCAGGAACUAUCUUCAGGAUAUGGAGUUAUGGAUGCCAAGAGAUACCGAUCAGUUUGGUUCGAGUUAAUGAAGAUUGAACAUGUCAAUCUAUAUGCUCAUGCAACGAAGCUUUGAUCUGUUUUAUGUACAAAGCACAUGUUCUCGUUAAACACCUGUGUACGAGCUGAAGAUCAGCAAUGCCAUUCUGAUGUGCAAUACUUGGAACAAAGCAUAUCUAUAUACAAUAUCAUGUAUUCCUUGGAUGGUGCUCUUUGUAAAA